rnacentral:sRNA from 1 species
UAGCCGAUAUUCCACAGAAGAGGGCCAA